rnacentral:rRNA from 1 species
UACGAAGGGGGCUAGCGUUGUUCGGAAUUACUGGGCGUAAAGCGCGCGCAGGCGGUCUUCCAAGUCAGUGGUGAAAGCCCGGAGCUCAACUCCGGAACUGCCAUUGAAACUGUUAGACUUGAGGAUGAGAGAGGUGAGUGGAAUUCCCAGUGUAGAGGUGAAAUUCGUAGAUAUUGGGAAGAACACCGGUGGCGAAGGCGGCUCACUGGCCCGUUACUGACGCUCAGGCGCGACAGCGUGGGGAUCAAACAGG